rnacentral:lncRNA from 1 species
GGAACUCCAAAAUAGGAGAGGCGGCAAAAUGUGAAACGCAGAGAAGUCUGCAUUUCCUUUCGCCCUUUCUUUCUCGCACCCACAGUUACACACACAUACACGCACGAACUCCACACAGUACUCAUAGAAGAUCCAUAAGUAACCGUUGCGCACUUGCAAUCACGAAAUCUCUCUCUCAUCCCCUGCAGCUUUUCUGAAUCGCACUUUCAGCUUCUCGUUGUUCGGAAGUUUUCCGAGUGUUGUUGUUGGUAAUUGAUGUUUCUAUUUUCAAUCUACAGCAUUGAUUUUAUUAGUAUUUGAGAUAUCUGUUAAUUACUUGAAAAACAUGCCAAUUAAUAGAUGCAUUUUGAAGUGACUGAUGUGUGAAUUAUAGUCAAAUUGAAGUUGUAAUUAACGUAUUCAUAUAAACAUCAAUGGCGAUUUGUAGAGGAAUCCGCGAUAAGUAGCCGCCGCUUUUUGCGUGCACUGAACAUGUUUGUAGGUGUGCGUAGCGAUAUAUGUUUUUAUGAUUGUAUUAGAACAACUCAUAAUUGCGUUAUACCUUGAUAUUCCUAAGCUACCAGGUUUUGUAAACCUGCAAAUUAAAGUGUAAAGUAGUUGUAUGUCAAAAGUUACACAUCCAUUGUCAUGUCGAACUCAAGGCAUUUGGCUUGAAUAUGCCAUUAGAUGGAGUAUAUAUAUUUCAGAAUCCACUCUCUUGACUCAAAAUUCAUUAUUCUGAAUUUUGAAUUUGCUGCUGCACAUGUUUAUGCUCACCUCAUAGCUAAUGCUUAUGUGCAGGUUGAAAGUUGCUCUUCAUUCUCUUCUAGUGACAUUUUGGAAAUUCGGAGUUGCAGAAAUCUUAUGGUAUACGAUUUUCUCAGCUUCAAAAAGGUACGAUAUGCAUCUCCGUUCAAUUGUGAUUUUCGAAACUGUAUGGCUGGGUAGUAGUGUAGUACAGUAGUUGCAAACAACAACCGUAUUUCUGUGUUGUUUUAGACAACUUAUGAAGUAGUAUGAAUAGGGUGUUAGUUUAAGCUAAUCUUUACCAGGGUGCUGGUAUCAUGAAUAUAUUGGUAUGCUCUUUGCAAGUCCUGGUUUAUAUAUUUACCCUUUAGUCUUAAUUAUGUUUAGUCGAAAACAGUGUUCAUUAUAACGUUGUUCCCUUGUUCAAGCUUUUACUACUUGAUAAGAUUUUGCUGCAGCUCCCGUCUAUGAAAAAAGGGGUUUUGUUUAGCUUGUGGGAAGCUUUUCCUUUUACGAAUUACCAUCAGAAUUAGUUUGCAAAUUCGCCUCAUGUUGGUGUUGCGGAGCCAAACCAGUUAUUUUGUAAUUUAGGAGCCAAGUGUAUUGAUUGACAUGGAAGAGAAUCAAUUUUUAUUACUCUUUUAUAUCCUCCGAGGAGAAAAUGAGACGUAUAAAAAUCAACUGAAUUUGAAUUUCAGUUGGCUAAAGAUACACUAGCCUGUUGAAGAAUUCGAUGAUCGUCACUAAUAGAAAUGACCACCCUAAGUAUCAGCUACAAUUUACUUACAAGUUAGACAAUACCUAUCUUUUCUUUCCUAAGGUUUAAAACAUCAUGGUACUGAUUACUGAAUGUUGCUAGCUUGUUCAGCCUAGGUGGCUGCCUUGCUGAUUCAGUAGGACACUGCUCCCUAGUUUUCAUCUGGCUUUCCUUUAGUCUUACUCAAUCUGCUGGCUGGAAAAUGCAACCGUGCCAUCAGUGGUCUUGGUGCCCGUGUCUUCUUGUCAAAACCCCUCACACAAACAAACCCUGCGAAAUAAAGUACUUGAUCAGAAAGCAAAUAAAAGGUAUUGCAGCAAGGAAUAACACUUCUUCCUCUUAGUGACCUGAAUGAUUACUAUUCCUCAAAAUUUUGUUUUUAUGAUUUGUCCUGAGAGUGUAUAAAGAAAGCAUGAAACUUGCCAACAUGUUUUUUGAUGCUGAGCAAGUUGUAAUACAUUCUUUUUGGAUGCCAAAGGUAUCUAAUUGUGCCGUUUCUUGUUUGGGAGUCAUCAUUCCGAAGAAGGAUUGAAUGAUGAUUAUGGACUUAAUAAAAAAGAAAAAGUUGAUUGAUGGAAACCUAACUGGUACACAUUAUGUGUAAUUGUUGAGAGCAUGCAUCUAUGUCUGUGUUUACUCUUAUUACUGUAUGUCACUCUUUUUUCAAGUGUAUACAUGUGUUCUGGCCCUGCUCCAUAGUCAAAAAUAGAGGAGACAGGGCUGAUUGGCUGAAGGGAAUACAGAUUUUUCUGUUCGAAAGAUGGACUAGAACCAAGAUAACAUGUUCAUAGAUUAUCUUAAAAAAGAUAAGCUGUCUGCAUUAAUCGGUCAUAAACAGAUUGGAUGAAGAAGCAAAUAUUAUCAACAUAUCUGCAAAUAAGACUCUGGUUUUAACUUUCUCUCGAACCAUCACGUCAGAUAUCCUCGAUGACUCACUCUAUACCAAAUGGUAAACCUUGGAGGUUCUUCAAUUAUUUCUAUAUAAGCUGUAUAAACUUGUUCUCCCAGAUUAUUUUUUCCCCAGUUUCAAGCUUUGUUCUGAUGCUGAAUGCUUAUGCCCAUUUAACUUGAUACAGAGUCUUUUUGAACUUGAAUAUGGUAUUAACAUGCACACUUUUCGUUGAUUUAUUUAGUAGAAAUGGAUUAGAAGUUAAGACAAGCAUUUGGACCUCUGUGGAUUUAAAGUUUUCGACUACAUACCUCUCCAAAAGCAAUGUUGGAUACUUUCUGUGGUUAGGCCUGAUUAACAAAGAACAUAUUAAUGUUAUUUUACUCCCAAAGCAUUUAAAAAAAUAAAUGAUCAUCCUUUAGUUGUCCUUUUACCUUUAAAUAUUGUUGGUAUUGAGGUUCCAAAGUAAACUGUUCGUCGCGGCAGAUUCCAUAGCCAAUCUCGUGGGACGUCAAUUGGGUUGAGGCUGGAGUCAUGGUCUGCAAACACCUGAGAAAUAAGAAAAAUGCUACUGUGAAAACCUUAUUAAAUGGUAAAAUGCUUAUCUUUGACAUGUUCGAGUGAUGAGCUUAAAGUCGGCUGUAUUCACCUCGUUAACUUGAAAGUAUGUACCAUUGAGCGGAAAGCUUCCUCUCAUUGCCGUUCGACAUGGUAUCUGUUAGAGAAGUAUAUAUAGAGAUGAUUAGAAUUCUCAGACCGCUUUCCCAUGACAAACAUUACAGUUAGUUUGCUCUUUCUUUACCAGAAUUGUCCCUCUCACUGUUUGAGAAUGUGCUUCACGUAGGCUGUUGCAUGCAAAGCAUGUUUCAUCAUCACAUAGCCUACCAGCCUCUUGGGAGUUGCACUUUAUUGCAGGUGGAUGAAUAGAAUCCGCUGUUUCACCUGAGAUGGAAUUGAUACAUGACAGAGAAUAAGUUAUUUUGAAAGCCUGGGGAAAAGUUAACCUAUUUCGCCAAAUUACCCUCUACCACUGUAACACAAGCUACUAAUGAGAUUGGAACCUGGGACUUGCAUAGUUAGCUAUGUGCAAUUGUUCCUUACAAACAUGAGUUAUCUAAUUCAUCAGUUUUAGGGUUAAAGUAGUCGGAAGCGGAUGCUUUGCCUUUAGCUUUUUCGAAACAUCUCCUCCUAUGUAUUACAUUACAUUAAUCUUACCAGGUGUCCAUAUUGCCAGAAGAUAGGAGCAUGGAUCAUCUGGUUCUCUUUUGUCGAACUGCAACAUGAAAAGAUGCAAUUAUCGGGAGGAUUAAUUUCAAUAUCAGCUUACAUGCUGCUUAUAUAUGAAUAUUAAACUGAUGUAGUAUCACUGACCCCUUCUAGGAGAGGAUGAGAAUCCGAAAGUUCAUAUCUGUGGAUGGAGAAACAGUUGAUAGUAAGUGCAAACAAAUUUAGAAGAACUGUAUGAAAUAAUAGGCUACCCUCCCAUAUUGGGCUAUCUAUCAGAAGUUAUUGCACAUCUUUACUUUAUUUUAUGAUGUAGAUAUCAGGAGCAUCCACUUACACUUGAUGUUCAGUUCUGAGCCGGCUUAUAUGCUUAAGUUUAGGCACGGGAAUCGAUGCAGCUUCUGGAGUUAAAGCGACCAAGGCUUUUGACAUUUCUACCUGUUGAAGCUCCAUAUUGUUUUCCAUAAAUUUCCUCACAUUUUGAGUGAACUCUGCCAUAUUCAAUGUAAUUGUAGGAAUUUCAUUAGGAUCUUCAAAGUAAGCAUCUUCAAUGUCAACUUCGGGAGCUUUUUGCUCUGGCUCAGGCGAGGCAAGCUCUUCUACAAUGGGCUCUGGUGUUGCUGGCACUUCAAUAAUAGGUGCGGAGUUGAUCAAUUUGGAAUGCUCUAAUGGUGUUUGAUCAGCCUGAGGUAAGGGCAGCGACAGUUGGCUGAAGUUCUGGAAUGGAUUCUGGCCAGCUGCUUUGUUUUCUGUUGCACUCACAAUGCUUUUCUCUUCUGGUGCUGGAAGGGCAAGCCUUGCGCUGAAUGAGGAUUGUGUCAAAUACCAUAUGUGAAACACAAUGCAUUCAAUCUUUAGACUAGUAAAUUGCUAAUCUAGUUGUAAGGCAUUACUGAAUGUGCUGACCAUAAGGGUAUUGGCUUGAGUUUGGCAGUUGAGAUGUAGCAGUUCUAUCUUAUACCAGAAGAAAUCAGUAAAUAUUAAAGUUUCUAUUGAAGUUGCUUCAUCACUGACGACACUGAGUGACUGACCAAUUUGUCAAAUGGUUCAUUUUUGAGUUUAAGUGCUGGUGGAUUAGCUUAAAUGCAAAUUUGUGUUGCCUAAGUAGAUUCGUCAAAUCUUGUUUCAGUGGCCACAAUUCUGGAACUAUGAUUCUUUGGUUUAGGUGUAGAAAAGCUUGAGAAGAACUAAUAAAGAUGGACAUACAUGAGAUAAAUAAAUUCUUGCAAGAAAGUAUAUAGACUAAUAGGCAAACCUUGCAAAAGCACUUGCGAAGUGUCUACAUUCUCCUCUCAAUGGACAUGCAUUGCAGUUGGGUUUGCUUUUUGUACAGAAGACCUAACAAAGUAGCAAAUGAACUUGAUUUAAACUGUGAUUGCACAUAUACACCAGUUUUAGGGGAGAGUAACUACUGGUAUUGGCAUACCUUUCCAAAAGUGAUCAUAUGGUAAUGCAACUCAUAUCUGUAAUCAAGUAGGGUUUGAAUCAGUAAAUGCAUCACUUGAUAAGAAGAAAAAGUAAUUUUCUAUGUUAAGUAUUAUGCAUGUAUAUAAUUUAUUAUUCCCUUUACAAAAAUCAACUACCUGAAUCUACUAGUCUGUCACACAAAUCUCUGCACUUUCUUACAAUCAAAAUCUUUUCUUCCACUAUGCAGUAUACUGUUAUAAUUGGAUCACUUACAUUUAAUAACAAACUAGUGCUUGUUGCCCAGGCCUGGGAAAAAUUGGUUUUCGAGAAAAGAAUGUUACUUACAAUGUUCUCUGAUCGAGCUUGCAGAGACGUGGCCAGAGGUACUUUUGAAUUGACUCCAGCACUGGGUACCUGUAGAAACAGCAG